UGCAGAAUCCCGUGAACCAUCGAGUCUUUGAACGCAAGUUGCGCCCGAGGGACCCUCCCAAGGGCACGCCUGCCUCAUGGGCGUUAGAAGCCCAUUCACGCUUGGUUGCCUCACAGCAAAGAUGCGGACAUUGGCCCUCCGAACCUCGAGGUGCGGUGGGCCUAAGUGUGCGGCCGUUGUACGUGGCCGGGAGCGGCGAGUGGUGGGCUACUGCGCACGUCACCCCGAGCCCCGUACCGACACAGGGCCUUUUUUGACCCCUAACGAGGAGCUUGCCGUUGCGGUUUGCGCUGCGCGGUGCCUUCGGACCGAUACCCCAGGUCAGGCGGGGCUACCCGCUGAGUUUAAGCAUAUAAAUAAGCGGAGGAGAAGAAACUUACAAGGAUUCCCCUAGUAACGGCGAGCGAACCGGGAGCAGCCCAGCCUUAGAAUCGCGGUGGCACUGCCGCCCGA
rnacentral:rRNA from 1 species